rnacentral:lncRNA from 1 species
AUCCUCCCAGCUAAAGCCCAAGAAUUCCUGAUGAAGUAUCCAGUGGUCCUGAUCCAUGGGUUGUGCCUAGCUAAUUUAAAAAGAAAAGGAGGGUCACCUGUGUGGCUCAGUCAGUUGAGCAUCUGACUCUAGAUUUCGGUUCAGGUUAUGAUCCCAGAGUCCUGGGAUCGAGCCUUGCGUCGAGCCUUGUGAUAGGCCCCGCGGUGAGUAUGGAGCCUGCUUAAAAUUGUCUCUCCCUCCCUCUGCCCCUCUCCCCCACUUACAUCUGCUCUCUCUAUAAAUAAAUAAAAAAAUAAAUGGAAGAAGUAAAAAUUAAAAGAGAAAAAAGGCAGUAUGCAAUAAUAAAUUAUUUCAGUAACUGAAAGAGGCAUCUGAAUGAAGUCCUCAUUAAUAUAUGAUUUUUUAACGUAUUGAAAAUGAAAAUGUCAUCUUUCUGUAAGAGACUAGUUCAGUGGUGGUAGAGUACCAGGCCCUAUAGGAGUCAAAGUAUAUAUUUGGUGCCAGUGAAAGCAAGGAAUUGAGAACAGCAGCUGUGUGGCUCUUGGGCCAGCUGACCCUGGGAGGGGAGCAGAAGCCAAAAUGAGCUAAAUAUGUAUGAAUGCACACAGGCUCAGGCUGAGUCCUGAGGUGGGAACGGCAUGGCAAAGGCAAGUCUAGCCAUUAUGGAUGAACUGAGUCUAAGAUCUGGAGGCAGGUCAGCAAAGACAGUGAAACUAGGCACUACAAACCCAAGGAUAUGGUUGGCUUCAUGACUCAUUUGUGUUUUGUUUCCAUUUCAAAUCAUUUUUAUUUUUGUACAUUGAAUACUUGGUUUAUAUUCUAAAUAUAUUAGGAUCAGAUUUAUAUAGUGCUAUUCACAUAGGUUUUAUUCUUUUCUGUUAUACAAUUCCUUUUUCCAAAAAUCUGUGAUUUGAUAAAAGUUCAAUAAGCAAACACAUUUUAGCACAUGGGAGUAAAUAUAUCCUUAUAACAUCCCUUGAAGUUUGAUUGGAUGAAACUUAUGAUUAAACUAUGACAGUGGGGGGCAGGGCCCUGGGUGGCUCAGUCAGUUGAGCAUCCAAGUCUUAAUUUGGCUUAGGUCAUGAUCUCAUGCUUUGUUUGUGAGAUUGAGCCCCUGGUAUGGGCUGUGUGCUGACAGCCUGGAGCCUGCUUGGGAUUCUCUCUCCCUCUCUCUCUGUCCCUCCCUGGCUCACACACAUUCGCACAUGGGCACACACUCUCUGUCUCUUGAAAGAAAGAAAGAGAAAGAAAGAAAGAGAGAGAAAGAAAGAGAAAGAAAGAAAAGAAAGAAAGAAAGAAAGAAAGAAAGAAAGAAAGAAAGGAGGAAGGAAGGAAGGAAGGGAGGAAGGAAGGAAGGAAGAAAGAAAAAAAGAAAGAAAUAUUAAAAAAAUACGACAGUGGAAAUGUAUGCCGUAAUCAAAAGAAAAAAUAUUGAAGAAUGGGUGGAGAACCUGCUUUCUCAUUGACCUCAAGGGUGUGCUGGUUUUGUGGGGGCAAGACAGGAUGUGAAAGAUCACCUUUCAUGUUCUGGACAGGCAUGAGAGAGAAGUGGCAGUGGAGAGCUUUGAGGCAACAGUAGGCUCACCAUACAGCUUGCCAACCUCGCCCAAGGGGAGAAUCCCAUGGGGAAAGGCUGGACAGGCUGGCGCUGACUCAGGAAUUCCCUCCCACAAGGAGAUGAACUGAUGGGGAAGAAGGCAUUUGGAGCAGUCCAGGGCUGCUACAGCUGCUUACUAGUGCGCUCCAGAUCCAGGUACCUUGGACCUAUCUUUCCUUCUGUUCUCCUCAGGUGGCUUUCAUCCUCUGAGCUGCAAGGUCUGAUGCCUGUGUCCUGGGCAGGUUGGAAGCAGACAAGCCAAGGGCCUGCUCUCUUGGGGUGUUGCUUUUUUAUUCAGGGAGAGAAUGCAUUCUCUGCAGUCUUUUUUUGGAUGUAUCGUCGUGCAGAAUUAUGUCACAUGGCCACGUCUAGCUGGAUUGAAACUAGAAAGAUGUAUUUUACCUUUCCAGCUCUGAAAAAGGAAUAUAUGGCAGAGGGAGUCACUGGAUCACUUUCUGGUAGUCAAUAUACAGUGUUCAUUUCUAAGGUUACACAGGUGCCAAAAGUGAACAAUGAAUAUGAAAAGCAAGGAGAAGCCAAGAAGUUAAAAUGUUGGUAACAGAACAAAACCAAGUAUUAGGUCAAUGUAACAAUUAACCUUUGGUGUGUAUAUACUACUGGUGAGGUUUAAAAAUCUUGACAUAUAGUGUGAAAACAAUUACAUAUGCACAUAGUUUAAAGAUUCAGAUAAUUCUACAAGACUUAGUAGAAAAACAAAAGAAAACCCAGCAAUCCCCAUUACCUACAAUUGUCUCUUUCUAGAGGAAGUCAUUUUAAACUGAGAAUUUUCUUUCCUUGCAUUUCUAGUUCCAGUUUCAUCUUUCCACUGGCUCUCCAUCUCUUCAUUGAAGUCUUACCUAAGUAUCUUCCUUAGGCUGUGGUAAUUUAGGACACAAUUCUUGGUCAUAAUUUUCGUUUUCUCUGUGAUGAUAUUUUUCUGGUGAGUUUUAUUAGCUAUUUUUCUGUUUAAGUUUUUUCCUCUUUUUUUUUUAAAGUUUAUUUAUUUUGAGAGAAAGAGAGGGACAGAGAGUGUGCACAUGAGUGGGGGAGGGGCAGAGAGAGAGAAUCCCAAGCAGGCUCCGUGCUGUCAGUGCAGAGCCUCAUGUGGGGCUUGAACCCACAAACCGUGAGAUCAUGACCUGAACCAAGAUCAAGAGUGAGAUGUUUAACUGACUGAACCACCUAGGUGUCCCUUAGUUUUUUCUUUUAAACUGAUUUUUUUGUUUCUUCGUAUAAAUCUUGUUUUGGUACAAAAAUAUUUUCAUUAUGGAAAAUUUUGAACAUAUACAGAAGUAGAGAGAAGAGUAAAAUGAAUCCCCAUAUACUCAUCAUUCAGCUUCAACAGUCAUUAACUCACAGCCGUAUAAUUCCAUCUUUGCCCCACCUGCUUAUCCCUUCCUGUAUUGUUACUUUUUGUAGUAAAAUAUACAUAACAUAAAAUUUACCAUUUUAACCAUUUUUAAGCAUAAUGUUCUUUGUCAUUAAGCACAUUAGCAUUGUUGUGUAACCACCACUACCAUCCAUCUCCAGAACUUUUUCAUCUUCCCACACUGAAUCUCCCUACUCGUUAAACAAUAACUCUCCUUUCCUCCCUCUCCUCAGCCCUUGGCAACCACCAGUGGAAGGUACUCUCUAUCCCCAUAAGCUUGACUAUUCUAGGUACCUCAUAUAAAUGAACUCAUACAACAUUUGUCCUUUCAUAACUUGCUUAUUUCCCUUAGUUAGCAUAUUUUCAAGGUCCCAACCUGAGCAUGAAUUUCCUUCCUUUUUAAGACUGAAUAAUAUCCCAUCGUAAGGAUACAUCACAUUUUAUUAUUCAUCCAUUCAUCAAGGACACUUGGGUUGCUUUCUUUUGGCUAUUGUGAAGAAUUCUACUAUGAACAAGGGUGUACAAAUAUCUGUUUGAGUCCCUACCUUCAACUCUUUUAGGCAUAUGCUCGGAAAUGGAUUAUUGGAUCAUAUGGUAAUUCUAUGUUUAUUUUUUUUAGGAGCUGCCAUACCAUGUUUCACAGUGGCUGCACCAUUUACACUCCUACCAACAAUGCACAAUGCACCUUUCAACAAAGGUUUCUACACCCCUUUCUAAUACUUGUUAUUUUCUGUUUUGUUUGUUUUUGUUUUUAUAAUUUUUUAAAAUGUUGAUUUAUUUUUGAGAGAGAGAGGGACAGAGUACGAGCUGGGGAGGGGCAGAGAGAGAGAGGGAGACACAGAAUCUGAAGUUGUGCUGACAGCUCAGAGCCCAAUGCAGGGCUCAAACUCAUGAACCAAGAGAUCAUGAGCUGAGCUGAAGUCAGACACUUAACUGACUGAGCCAUCCAGACGCCCCAUGUUUUUGUUUUUAUAAUAGCCAUCUUAUAGGUCUGAAUUGGUUCCUGUGUUAUUUAUGAAGCAAAUCCCAGAUGUAAUAUUUCACCCACAAAUAUUCAGUAUGUAUUUCCAAAAGAUAAACACCCUUUUAGAAAAUAGAACUCAAAAAAAGAAAAUAGAACCCCAAUGUAAAUAAUUAAUAAAAUUUUUAAAAUAUCAUCCAUUAUCUUGUCAGUAUUCACAAUUUCAACCACCCAGAAACGUAAUAACUUCUUUUUUAGGUUUUUGGUUUGUAAUGGAACCAAAUUUUUCAUAAUAUAUUGCUAUUAGUUGUCUUUUAAGUCCCUUUAAAUCCAUAGUUUCCAUUCUUUUAUUUUCCUUGCAAUUUAUUUGUUGAAGAAAUUAGAUUGUUUUAUAAAUUUUCCUGUGGUCUGAAUUUUGUUAAUACAUCCAUGUAGUAUUUAAUAUGAUCCCCUAUAUUUCCUUGCAAAUUGGUAGUCGAAUCUAGAGGCUUGAUCUGAUUCGCAUUCAAUUUUUUGGCAAGCCCACUUAGGUGGUAUGGGUUCUUCUACUGGGAGACAUACUAUCUGGAUGUCUCCUUUUGUGAUACUUAGUGGGCAUUUAUGAUCAUUGUUUAGGUCUGCAUGAUCUAUGGUGGUUGCUAUUAGUCACAUGUUGCUUUUUACAUUUAAAUUAGUUCAAAUUAAAUAACAUUAAAAUUCAGUUUUUCAGUUUUACUAGCCACAUGUCAAACGCUCAUAACCUCAUGUUGCUCAUGGCUACUGUGUUAGGGCAGAUGCAAAGCAUUUCUAUCAUUACAGAAAGUUCUCCUGGGCAGCACUGGUCUAGAUCUAUUAAUUCAUUAAGGGUGUGUUUCAGUGCUGCUCUAAUUCUCAUAUUCAUUUUACAUUUAUCAGCUCAAAAACUUGUAUAAGGAGAAAUGUCCCCAUAUCCACUAGUUACCCAGUGAUACAGUUUGUAUAGGAAAAGCGGAAUAAAGUUUAAUUCCUUCCCUUCAGUGAGGUCGAUUCUGUAAGUUAUAGAUCAAUAUACCAUGCUUGUAUCAACAUAAUUAUGUAAUUAUUGUUUACUGCAGACCCAACUAAUGAAUUACAGUUAUACUUCCCUUUUUAUUCAGUUUUCUUUUUCCUUGAGCAUCUAAUUUACUUUACCUUUUAUUGCAUUAUCUUACAAUAUUGUUGUUUCAAUUUUCUCCCCCAAUUUUCCAUCGUGUUAAUCUAUUCUAUUAAGAUCUCCCUUCCCCCUCUCCCCCCUUGAGAUCUUAUUCUUAGAAUUCUUCCUGUUGAAACUUCUUUCUUCAUUGCUGUUUGGGGUUAUAUAUACUUUUUCCUGAGUCUUACAACUUCCUUUGUCUUGGCUUUUUAAAAUUGGUUUGCUAAAUAUGUCUUCCUAAAGUAACUUCCUAAAAAGAGUUUGUGGAAGGCAAAGUUUCAGAGCCAUUCCAUUUCUGGAAAUAUUUUUAUUCUAUCUUCACUCUUGUUUGAUAUUUUGGUUGGACAUAGAAUUCUAAUUUUAAACUCUGUACUGUCAUAUAGAAAGUUAAAGAUAUGUCUCAUUAUUAUUAUCCCUAGUUAAUUUCAAUAUCAUUCCUUGUUUUCCAGUGGACAGGGAUUUUUUUUUUCUUUCUGUUCUUGGGUUUAAAUAUUCUCAGGGAAUAUUUUGGUGUUCUGUGCAGCAUUCUAUCGAUAUAGGCCUCAAAUAGAUGAUGUAUAUAAAUUGACAUUAAUUUCAUAUAUAAUAUUUCUGAAAUGCUACAAAUUUGAGUGUGUAAAAAUUGAACAAUAAACUCUAGGAUGUGGUGUGUGCUCUAAAUCAGCAACCAAUGUUUCUCCUAAAGCCAGUUUCACUGGUCUGAGAAUAAAGGGGUGGAAAUAAGAGUGGUUCCUCUAUUACCUCUAGUGAUCCACUACUGAAAUUUUUGCUUCCAAUUCCAGAGUAACAUUGGGCUCUGCUGGUGUAGAGGUCUCGGUUUCCAAGAGAGCACUUCUUCUAGUAGGGGGCUGCAAUGUUUCAGCUAAACUGGUGGUUGAGAUUGCUAUCCGGUCACUUGGGGCUCCUCAUGUCAGUGGAUCAAUAGCCAAAGAAGAGGUUACUCUAUCUAUUGGCAGGAGUGAGUGAAUGAUCCUGCUUGUCAAGGAGUUGCCACCACACACUGAAAGUUUGGAGUAUUUCUAGAAUGCAGAAGAUAUACUGGGGCAUCUCUUAGUUUUCCCAGGUCCCAUGAUUAAGAUCAAUAGAAAACAACAAUACGAUAUAGGAAGAACUGCUAAUGGCCCAGAUCCUUCAGGAAUGAAGAUUUGGGUCACCUCACCACACAAAGAACCAUGCAAAGAAGUUAGGUGCUUAUUGAGAGCAGAGAAAUGUGUAGUGGAAGAAGGUAGUUUAUAAAUACCAUCUACUUCCAUGUGACCAGUAGCAAAACUGAGGACUGUACCCUCAUUUCUCAAAGUGUAUUUGCACUUCCCUCUUGUUUUGCUAUAAAUACAUUUGUGUACAUAUUAACCAAAUAUUUUUUUCUCCCUGUCAUUCUUUUAUCAUAUGUGUUAAUAGUAGCUAUUAACUUAUACCUUGGUACUAUAUAGGAUCUCAAAGUGAGAAUGUGAUUCAGCUAGAUGAGGCAUGAACAAAGUCCAAAGAUGAUUAAAGGAACUUUGUAUCCCCUUUUGGAGAGAGGUGUAGGUUGUGUUUGGUUGUAUGAGGGAUAGUUGUCUCAUGCUAAGUGAAAGUAUGACUUUUCUAUUGUCUUUUUUUUUCUUUUUUUUUAAGUUAAUAGCGUUAAAAGGGAUAAGACACAGAUGUCAAGUUGAUGAGGCACAGACUUUGGUAGCUUUGUACUGUGGCAACUUAUCUAAGAUGGAGCUAAAUUUCUCAGAAUUCCCCUCCCUGUAUGGUUCUGAGUUGGAGUUGGUUGCAAGAGAUGUUCUGUGUGAACUUGGAAGCCAGUAGUGAAGCAGAAACCAUAUUGCUUACUCUCUGAAGGUGAGUGCAAGGUGUUAGGCAGGUGAGCCACUUGCUCUCAUUGUUACUGAUCUGCUAAAUCACUUUGUGGGUAUGGGGUGGCAAUGGGGCCUAUGUUUCUUCAGUUGUUAGAUCUCCUCCUUGAACUUUUCUGACUUCUGGGCUAAGUGCAUAUGCAGCUCUUGGUGAAAGAUGCCAGCUUCUCUUGCAGAUUACCCAUGACAGCACAGUUGGAGGUGCUAAGAGAGACCUGGGUUCCAGUUCUCCCUCAUGUUGCCUUGUUCUUGUCCACGUUUAGCUCUCCCCUCUGCCUCCCCGGCUGACUUAGAGCAACUUUAGGUUCAACACUAGACACAGAAGCAAUGGCUGCUCCACCAGCUGCCAUGAUUGCAUAGGAUCAGUCUCAUACUGGUUCUGCUUUCUCGUUGAACCACACCCUAAAGAUAGGUCAGGAGGGACACAGGAGCAGUGGGGAAUUCUUAUGCCAAAGGCCAUUCAGUUUUCAUGGGAGGAACACACAUAUUUUUUUAGUAUUAAAAUUCAUGAAUUUUAUUCAGAAGAGUUUCUAAGAUGUUCCCUUACUCGCUACUUAGUAACACAAUACCAUUUUAUUGUUUUCUUCCAAAAUGAAAAUGACAACUAUAUUUAUUAUGGAACAGUUGGUAGAUACAGGUAAUUACCAGGAUACAGAUAACAUUUUGGUGAAUAUCCUUCAACUCUGUCUUUAGUGCAUAUAUCUAUAAUAUAUAUGUAUACAUAAACACACUUUAUUUUUAUGAAAAUGGAAUCAUAUUUAGGUUCUGUUUUAUAAAACAGGUUCUCUAUCCACACAUCAGCAUAUCAUGAAUGUUUAUCUCUAGAUAAUCAGUCUCCAAUUCAAGAACUUAAUUUUUAAUUACUUUGCAGUGUUCUGUUGCAUGGAUAUACCAUAAUUUAUUUAAGCCAAUCCCUUAUUUUUAGCCUCAGAUUAUUUUCAAUUUUUCUUCAUUGAUUAAAAAAAACCUCUGAGAUGAACAGAGAUAAUCCUUUUAAAACAUUUUUAUUGAGUGCUCUGUACCACGCCUGUAGUAGCUUCAUCUCUAUGCAAAUCUACAUCGCUAAAUUUCUGUGUGAUUAAGCUUUUCAACAAGUGUGUAUUGAAAGAAGGAAGGCAUAAAUAGAGAGGUACAUUUUAAGAUUGGCACAGAUUUAAUUUUAUAAAAUAACUAGGUCGGGGUGCCUGGAUGGCUCAGUCAGUUAAAUGUCUCACUCUUUAUCUCUACUAGGUCAUGAUCUCACAGUUCAUGGGUUUGAGCCCCACAAAGCCUGCUUGGGAUUCUCUCUUUCUUCCUCUCUCUCUGCCCCUCUCCUGCCUGUGCUCUCUCUCUAAAUAAAUAAACUUAAACAAAUAAAUAACUAGGUCAUUCUAAACUUUUCUAUAGGUCUUCUUGGAAUGCAACAUUUGGAGUCCCUCUUACAUCUUCUUGCCUCUAGAACAAAGCUGAACUUGUUGAUCCAUCCCCGUGAAGUGAAGCUUGAAAAGAAUUCUCUCCAUGUUCCCAAAUCCCUUUUUAAGUCAAAGUGCCUCCAAAUUGCCUCUCCUUGUAGACCUUCUGUGACCCACAGUAUACUGGAGAAAAGCAGAAUCUCAGUCCCCAUCCCAGAAAUAGCGCUUGCAUUUUCAUGUGGUUCUCAUACGUGUUAGAGUUUGAGAAGCACGGAUUUAGAGCUCCAGGCUUGGCUCACACUUGACCCCGGUCCUCCUCGCUGAACAACAGAGGUAAGGAGACUAGAACAGCGGUAAUAGUUAUGUUAGGGACAGGAUCUCUACCCAAGGAUCCACUCAGACACUUUUCACUAUCCUCAAGCCCUGCCUGCACAGGAAGCCGGCCACUAAAGAUAGACUGCCUGUGGGAGACAUAGGGACAUAAGGGACCUCUGCUAGCUGUGCAGCAGGGUGAAAAAGGGUGGAACAGGAAAAGGAGGAAGGCAAGUUCCUGGAUUCCAAAAACCACAGUUUGUCUAGGUGCUACUUUCUCCCUUAUUUAGCACAUAACUUUGUCAUAUGACAUCCCUUUGCUGACCUCUUUUCCUUUUGCAUUUUACCCCGCAUUCAAAAGUCACCAUCUAAAACUUUUCUCCAUGGGUUAGAAACUUUAAGUUGUCAGGGACUGAAUGUGCCC